rnacentral:rRNA from 1 species
UACAGAGGGUGCGAGCGUUGUCCGGAAUCACUGGGCGUAAAGGGCGCGUAGGUGGCGCUGCAAGUCGGUGGGGAAAGCUCGUCGCUUAACGGCGAGUCGGCCAUCGAAACUGCGGGGCUGGAGCACUGUAGGGGCCGAUGGAAUUCCGGGUGUAGCGGUGGAAUGCGUAGAGAUCCGGAAGAACACCAGUGGCGAAGGCGGUCGGCUGGGCAGUUGCUGACACUGAGGCGCGACAGCGUGGGGAUCAAACAGG